GCAAACCCAGGAAAGACCUUUGUCCCGUUGGUGUGGGUCAGAUACCCCGUACUUCAACUAACCUGCCGACCGCUUUCCCCUACACUCAACAGAACCAGUUCAUCGGAGGUCCCACGCUUCCCCCCUCAUUCAGGAUCCUUCGCGCCUGCUGCGAUCUGGAUUCGGAUGAUCAAUCGAGCGGCUUUUUGUCCAGUUCUUCCUGGGUGAUCCUCUAUCCGGUUGGGGAUUUUCCUUCGAUCGGCUUCUCCUCCUAAGAGGUAUGUUCAGUUUUGCUAUAAUUCGUGUGCUCCUCUGUUCUUAGGGGACGCUUAUGAAUUGGACGAUCAUUUAGCGGCGGCUGUUUGAUUUGGUGCGGGUCCUUUUGUGCCUAUGCUUUUGAGGUUCAGAAGAGGAAACAUUUUUUCGUUAAAGAAAUCUCAUACAUUCCGGUGAUUUCCCUAGUUUGUGCAGAACUGACUAAGGAUUUCUGAAACGCAAAAUUUCGCACUUCUGGAUCAUAGUGUCCAGUGAACAUGCUCUGAUGAUUAACAUAUUAUUCCAGAACAAUAUUUGUGGCCUAGCCUAACUGUACUUUUGGAGAAUUUGCUAGAGUACAUUGAAAUGAUCACUGGAUUUAUAUCAAAAUCUUCAUCUCGCAUGCAUAUUUCAGGUUCCACUAGUAUGCUCAUCCUACUUGAUGCCAGAAAUCCAGAGUCAUUUUAACUACUUUUAUAGCAGAAAGAACACUUCAAUUCCAUUAACUCACAGCUUCAAGUUCAUCAUCCUCUGUCUCUGCUCAAC
rnacentral:lncRNA from 1 species